GGGGCUGACUGGAUUCGACGGGAAAGUGAAUUGGUUAGUAAGCAUGUCGGGCUAUGAUGUUACCUCCCGUAAAACGGUACUUUAAACUACAGCUGGCAACUAUCAAUAUGCCAUGGCAGCCUAAUUCUAGGAGUUAGAAUGCCUUUGCGCUCAGCACACGACCUACGUGGUCUUCGCAGAUUGUCUGAUUUCUGCCGUGCGGCGUAUCAUCCCUAAUCAGAAUAGUUAACAGAGCGCUCUGGCUGUUGGCGAAAUCCAAAGAGAUAAGGCUGCGGUCUGGGUGUGUCGCCCAACCUCCCCACAGCUCGAAAAAACAAAUAUGGCGACUAAACAUGUAGAAAGCUCUCUGAUGCUUUGACCGGACGAGGGUUCGAUGCCCUCCAGCUCCACAC
rnacentral:tmRNA from 1 species